rnacentral:pre_miRNA from 1 species
GUGAAAGGGGCUGAUCCAGAGCCCACUGAAUAUAAUGUGAGUCUUUCUAUUGAAUUCAUUGAGCUUUGGAUCAGACCCCCAAGUGC